rnacentral:rRNA from 1 species
UACGUAGGGUGCAAGCGUUGUCCGGAAUUAUUGGGCGUAAAGAGCUCGUAGGCGGUUUGUCGCGUCUGCUGUGAAAACGCGAGGCUCAACCUCGCGCCUGCAGUGGGUACGGGCAGACUAGAGUGUGGUAGGGGAGAUUGGAAUUCCUGGUGUAGCGGUGGAAUGCGCAGAUAUCAGGAGGAACACCGAUGGCGAAGGCAGAUCUCUGGGCCAUUACUGACGCUGAGGAGCGAAAGCGUGGGGAGCGAACAGGG